AGUGACGUCAAGUCAGCAUGGCCUUUAUGUCCUGGGCUACACACACGCUACAAUGGCCAACACAAUAGGUUGCUAAGCCGCGAGGUGGAGCCAAUCCUCAAAGUUGGUCUCAGUUCAGAUUGCAGGCUGCAACCCGCCUGCAUGAAGAUGGAGUUGCUAGUAACCGCAGGUCAGCUAUACUGCGGUGAAUACGUUCCCGGGGCUU
rnacentral:rRNA from 1 species